ACGAACGCUGGCGGCAGGCCUAACACAUGCAAGUCGAGCGAGGACUUCGGUUCUAGCGGCGGACGGGUGAGUAACGCGUGGGAAUGUGCCCUUCUCUACGGAAUAGCCCUGGGAAACUGGGAGUAAUACCGUAUACGCCCUAUUGGGGAAAGAUUUAUCGGAGAAGGAUCAGCCCGCGUUGGAUUAGGUAGUUGGUGGGGUAAUGGCCUACCAAGCCGACGAUCCAUAGCUGGUUUGAGAGGAUGAUCAGCCACACUGGGACUGAGACACGGCCCAGACUCCUACGGGAGGCAGCAGUGGGGAAUCUUAGACAAUGGGGGCAACCCUGAUCUAGCCAUGCCGCGUGAGUGAUGAAGGCCUUAGGGUUGUAAAGCUCUUUCAGCGGGGAAGAUAAUGACGGUACCAGCAGAAGAAGCCCCGGCUAACUCCGU
rnacentral:rRNA from 1 species